UACCAGCACCCCGAGUGGUCGGGACGAUUAUUGGGCCUAAAGCAUCCGUAGCCGGUUCUGCAAGUCUUCCGUUAAAUCCACCUGCUCAACAGAUGGGCUGCGGAGGAUACUACAGGGCUAGGAGGCGGGAGAGGCAAGCGGUACUCAGUGGGUAGGGGUAAAAUCCUCUGAUCCACUGGAGACCACCAGUGGCGAAGGCGGCUUGCCAGAACGCGCUCGACGGUGAGGGAUGAAAGCUGGGGGAGCAAACCGG
rnacentral:rRNA from 1 species